rnacentral:rRNA from 1 species
UGGGGAAUAUUGCACAAUGGGCGCAAGCCUGAUGCAGCCAUGCCGCGUGUGUGAAGAAGGCCUUCGGGUUGUAAAGCACUUUCAGCGAGGAGGAAGGUGGUGAGCUUAAUACGCUCAUCAAUUGACGUUACUCGCAGAAGAAGCACCGGCUAACUCCGUGCCAGCAGCCGCGGUAAUACGGAGGGUGCAAGCGUUAAUCGGAAUUACUGGGCGUAAAGCGCACGCAGGCGGUUUGUUAAGUCAGAUGUGAAAAUCCCCGGGCUCAACCUGGGAACUGCAUUUGAAACUGGCAAGCUAGAGUCUCGUAGAGGGGGGUAGAAUUCCAGGUGUAGCGGUGAAAUGCGUAGAGAUCUGGAGGAAUACCGGUGGCGAAGGCGGCCCCCUGGACGAAGACUGACGCUCAGGUGCGAAAGCGUGGGGCAGCAAACAGGAUUAGAUACCCUGGUAGUCCACGCUGU